CGCGGCCUAUCAGCUUGUUGGUGGGGUGAUGCCUACCAAGGCGACGACGGGUAGCCGGCCUGAGAGGGCGACCGGCCACACUGGGACUGAGACACGGCCCAGACUCCUACGGGAGGCAGCAGUGGGGAAUAUUGCACAACGGGCGCAAGCCUGAUGCAGCGACGCCGCGUGAGGGAUGACGGCCUUCGGGUUGUAAACCUCUUUCGCCAGGGACGAAGCCUUUUGGGGUGACGGUACCUGGAGAAGAAGCACCGGCUAACUACGUGCCAGCAGCCGCGGUAAUACGUAGGGUGCGAGCGUUGUCCGGAAUUAUUGGGCGUAAAGAGCUCGUAGGCGGUUUGUCGCGUCGGCCGUGGAAACUGGAGGCUUAACCUUCAGCGUGCGGUCGAUACGGGCAGACUUGAGUUCGGUAGGGGGAGUCUGGAAUUCCUGGUGUAGCGGUGAAAUGCGCAGAUAUCAGGAGGAACACCGGUGGCGAAGGCGGGACUCUGGGCCGAUACUGACGCUGGGGAGCGAAAGCGUGGGGAGCGAACAGGAUUAGAUACCCUGGUAGUCCACGCUGUAAACGUUGGGCGCUAGGUGUGGGUGACAUUCCACGUUGUCCGUGCCGUAGCUAACGCAUUAAGCGCCCCGCCUGGGGAGUACGG
rnacentral:rRNA from 1 species